CUUCAGGGUCGGGUGAAAUUCCCAAUCGGCGGUAUACCCCGCAAGCCAAGGAUGGCAGGAACCGGUGAAACUCCGGUGGCGACAGUAAAGUCUGGAUGGAAGAAGUU
rnacentral:ncRNA from 1 species